CCUCUCCCGCCCAGGAAACGGGAAGGGCUCUUCCGCCGGAAAAAGAGUGGAUUUACUACGAAGAUGGCACAUUGGAGGGCCCGUCGCCUGCAGUAAGGCCGGUCCUUGGCCACCCGGCGGAGCCGGUGACAGCAGCGCCCUGGAAGGCAGGCAGCCGUAUCAGGUUUCAGAGGAUGCGGCAGAGAACGGGAGUAGAGGUGAGGGGUUGUAUCUGUAGCGGCGUGUAUCUUUUGGGGGGGUCGGCGCCACCAGCGACGUGGGCCCCAUUCCUAGUUCAUUGCGCUUGCAUUUCUCCACCUCGUUUGAAGAACGAGCUUGGUAGCCAACGGAGCUGAGGUAUAUAAGCUCCCUGAAAUCACAAAGUAGUUAUUUCCACGUUCAGAUCAUUCAGAGAUUAUGAAGUCACACACCCUGCCUUCAAUUUGCUUAUCGUCGAAUAGAGCAGACACAAGUGAAUGAUUGCAGUAUAGCCACUUAAGUAAUCUAAAAGAGGGGCUGAAAGAUCCUAACGUGACAGGGGUGAGGAGGAAGACAAAGAACGUAUAUUCCCAAUGACAAAGUCCAGAGUGCAUAACAGAUGCCCUGCUAGACACUGUCAAAUACAGCUUCACCUGGAGAUGCAGCGUAAGAAGUUGGAUGGUUCUGGGAGAUUUUAACCCCUCAGGAAGCACUAGAUGCAAGCAGGAAGGGAUGGUUUAUGUGAGACCUGGACACAGGAAGGUGAAGAAAAAUGUCACUGCUUCUUGAGCACAGAUUUGGGCAAUAGGGCCUUUCCUUCCCAGUGACUAAGCCUGAUCAUUUGGGCAGCACCAUUCCUAGAUGAUGAAAAGAACCAUCCAGUGGACCUCAUAGCACAGUGAGGUUUCUCCUUGACCCAGCGAUUUUAAGAAUGUUUGCCAAGAUCUAUGAUUAAAGAUUUGCGGUGGGGACCGGCCGGGCUGUGGCGGGUCCUGUUUCUCUUUCACUUUACUUCACUCUGAGGCCAGCGCGCUGGCGGGUGAGGAGUGGCGGUGGUGGUGGCUGCUGGACGUGGGAAAGCACAACCACCAAAAGGAGUGCUGAUCAACGAUCUCAUGAUAAAUCUGGAUGCUAGUUCUCAUGCCUCAGGACGUCCUACUGGGAAUGCCACGCCAGCUCCUGGGAUCAGACUUUCAUCUACUUAGGACUUCUCUUUGCCUGAACUACUAAAGCCAGUCCUAGCUAGCCACGAAUGGCUACCCAAAGCAAACACUUGGUGAAAGAUUUUAAUCUUUUCAUUACCUGCUAUAUCUGUAAAGGGUAUCUGAUCAAGCCAACAACAAUGACGGAAUGCCUCCAUACAGUCUGUAAGACUUGUGUUGUUCAGCACUUUGAAGAUAGCAAUGAUUGCCCAAGGUGUGGCAACCAAGCUCAUGAGACAAAGCCAUUAGAAAUGUUGAGAUUGGACAGUACAUUAGAGGAAAUUAUGUUUAAGCUGGUCCCUGGACUACAAGAACAGGACUUGAGUGUGAAUCUGAAUUUUGGAAGAAAAGCCUCAAGAAAAUGGACAAGAUGUUACUUCAAAAGUUGAUAAACCGAAAGUAGAUGAAGAAGGCAAUGAAAAUCAAGAUUAUCAUAGAAGUGACCCACAAAUUGCUAUCUGUCUAGAUUGUUUAUGAAAUAAUGGACUGUUGGGGGACAGUGUAGUAAAGGGUUCAAUGAAGAAAUUCAUUCGAUGUUCUACACGUGUAACUGUUGAAACUAUUACAAAAUUUCUAAGUUUAAAACUAAAACUUCCAAGUUCUUAUGAGUUGGUUGUGCUGUGCAAUGGUGAAAUUAUGGGGAAGGAUCAUAAUUGGAAUUCAUCUACAUGACAAGAUGGUGACUAAGAGACGAAAACUUUCGGUGCUUGAACUGCUCAGCUUCGCAAGUCUGCUCUCAGGAGGGCCCUUUGUAUCAGUCAUACCCUGUGGUAGUGCAGUAUCGACCAAGAAUUGAUUCCAGUUAGACGAAGGGGCCCAGACCUCACUGAGAUGAAUCCUGCACUAUUUGUUUACUGGUCAACAGAUUACACAGUUAACGGUGUGUCAACUAGAGAACACAACCAGAUUUUCAGCAUGCAAAUAAGGCCAUUGUCUAUCUCUAAAUUGUCAAUUGCAUUCAUGUUGUUUCUAUUAAGAGCAAACCAAGUGCCAUUCUGCUACUGAACCAUCCACGUAAGGUAUCUGCGUUGUCUCAAAGUGUGCAAGUCAUGGUUAAAACCUGUUAGGUGUGCUGUCAUAAUUAAACCUUCUGAAUAUUUUGCUUGCCUGUUCCAAGAUCGUUCUAAUGUUUAAUUACACUAGUAAAAUGGCUCAAUUUUUGUGAUGUUGCAGAUUUCACAAACUUACUAUUUUAUUCUUGUUUAAAUAGCGUGCUGUACAAGAAACUAAUAAUUAUAUCUUGAAAUUAUUUCGUAUGGAAAUAUAUUUAGAAAAGUGGUUUUUGAGCCACUGUCUUGUUCUUGGUAUAAGCUUUUCAUGUGAAAAAAAGUUCAUUCUUGAGUGUGCAAGUCCUUUUGCGAAGAAUUCCAAUUAUUCUGUAACAUUAGACCCCAACAUAAUUGUAGACAUUCUAAGCAUCUGCCUGUGUAGUCUACCAGUUGCACAAGGAAGGCACGUUAGCCCUCCAGAUUGAAAAUGUAUGUGACCUCUUGAACUGAAGUUAGAUUCCCAACCAUUCAAAAUGUUGGCAGCUGAUCACAUUUACUUCCGAUAAAAUUAAUGUGUAAGUAAGGUUAAUUUUCUUUCAGGAUGCCUUGUGACAAGCAGGUGCUGCUUCAUGAAAUGUCAUUGUAUAGCCCAUUUCAUGUAUCAUUACACUGUUGCUGUUGUUUAACAAGUGCAUUAUUUCUCUUUUUAAAUUGGCCUUAUGUAUAUGUCGUUGUGGCAUGCAGAGGGUUAUGAUGAGUUUAAAUAUUAGGAUUUUUAGAGCACAUAACAUCAGAUAUUUUAUGGAUUUCAAAAGUCUCAAAACAGUUGUAGAUUAAAACUGUUAGUUACUGUUCACAUUUCCAAACUAUAUGCAUAAAAUAGAAUAAAUGCAGUAUAGAAGAUAACUAUGCUAACCAAAAUUAAUUGGUUAAGGGUAUUUUAUUUUAAAUCCUGUAGUAAUCAGGGAAAUGGGAUUAUUGUUUUUUAUAUGAGUUCAUUAAGAUUAGAAAUACAAGAUGUCUUGUAUUUUGCAGUUUUGUUAAGUCUUCCAUUCAUUUUAGGAUUAGUCUGUAAGUCAAAGAAGGUCUUGUUACCUUAAGUUAUACGAAAACUGUUAUUUUAAACCUUUUAAAAUUUACAGUUUUCAAAAAACUUAUUUGGAGAUUGCUUUGAAACAAGCUAAACUUUGAAACUUAUAAAAAAAUCUUGAAAGUUAGGAAAAAUAUUUGUUUUAGAAAUAUGACAUGAGCACAAUCUGUGUGUUACACACAUUUAGUUUUUAUACUGUAUAUGUGGUAAAUGUGCCACAUUCUCCAGUAAAAUGUAUCAGAAAUCAAUGCCCUCUGAAUUUCAAAAUGAUUCUUAGAAAUAAGAUAUCGUACAACCAUAGCAAACAUAUAAAAUACAGCUAAAUCUUAAUACAUAUCACUAUGUUUGAGUCAAAAAGUCUAUUAAAUUUUUCUGUUGUUCUAAAUUUGGUGAAAAAGGUUAUGGCAAUACUUUCUUAACUUUGUUUUGUUAGAUUGUUUUUAUACUUGGAAUGGCUCACAAGCAGAAUUUAAAAGGCAGAUUUUCGUUAACUAUAAAUGACUGAAAAAACUGAAUUUACUAUCUAGCUACAGAAAUUAUUUUUCUGUGCUGUGAAAGCCAGGUCUCAAACAUCCCUAAGAACUUUGAAAAAUUAUUAUAAAUUUGUCACAUCUAAGUCAGUGAUUGAAAUAGUGUUUUGCAAAUAGAAGUUAAUUUUAAGUAACUCAAAAUGAAUUAAGAGUAUAUUUUAAAAAUCGCUAGUGAGACUUUGAUGUUUUGACCUCCUGCCCCAGCCAAAACUUAAUGGCCAUAAAUGAAUUUUAUCUACAAAAUCCCUUUAAAUUUGAUCGGUUGCCUUGUCAUAUGUAAUUUCACUAUUUUCCAAGGAAAUAUAUAGGAAGCAAUUAUGAAACUGAGAAUAGUUUUAUAUAGAAUUCCUCUAUUUACUGAUAAUACAUUAACAUAUUUAUUGAAAUGCAGUGGAAUAUGUACCAAAACA